CAGCCGCCGCGGUAAAACGUAGGGUGCAAGCGUUGUCCGGAAUUAUUGGGCGUAAAGAGCUCGUAGGCGGUUUGUCGCGUCUGCUGUGAAAUCCCGAGGCUCAACCUCGGGCUUGCAGUGGGUACGGGCAGACUAGAGUGCGGUAGGGGAGAUUGGAAUUCCUGGUGUAGCGGUGGAAUGCGCAGAUAUCAGGAGGAACACCGAUGGCGAAGGCAGAUCUCUGGGCCGUAACUGACGCUGAGGAGCGAAAGCGUGGGGAGCGAACAGGAUUAGAUACCCCAGUAGUCCCUGUCUCUUAUAC
rnacentral:rRNA from 1 species